UAAAGUUAUUAAGGGCGUACGGGGAAUGCCUAGGCACAUGGAGCCGAUGAAGGACGUGGUAAGCUGCGAUAAGCCUCGGGAAGGAGCAAACAUCCUUAGAUCCGGGGAUUUCCGAAUGGGGCAACCCAAAUCGAGUCAUGUCGAUUAACUCCUGUCUGAAUAUAUAGGACAGGGUGAGACAACGAGGUGAACUGACACAUCUAAGUAACCUCAGGAAGAGAAACCAAAAGGGAUUUCCUCAGUAGCGGCGAGCGAACGGGAAUGAGCCUAAACCGCCAACGUGCCAAGCUUACAGGCGUUGCGCUGGCGGGGUUGAGGGAUCGAUUCAGAGUCUGCUGUAACAGGCUCGGCAAGUCAAAAAAUCUGAUAUUAAUUGAAUGGUCUGGAAAGUCCAACCGUAGAAGGUGAUAGUCCUGUAAAUGAAAAUUGACGAUCUUGCUGGAAUCGACACCCGAGUAACACGGGACACGAGAAAUCUUGUGUGAAUCUGCCGGGACCAUCCGGUAAGGCUAAAUACUCCCAUGUGACCGAUAGUGAACUAGUACCGUGAGGGAAAGGUGAAAAGUACUCCUAACGGAGAGUGAAAUAGAACCUGAAACCGUAUGCCUACAAGCAGUCAGAGCUCCAGUUAUCUUCGGAUAGCGGGGUGAUGGCGUGCCUUUUGCAUAAUGAGCCAGUGAGUUACUCGUAUAUUGCAAGGUUAAGACUAUAAGGUCGGAGCCGUAGCGAAAGCAAGUCUGAAUAGGGCGUUGAGUAAUAUGCGGUAGACCCGAAACCGAGUGAUCUAGCCAUGGCCAGGAUGAAGUCCCGGUAACACGGGAUGGAGGUCCGAACCCACCAGCGUUGAAAAGCUGGGGGAUGAGCUGUGGUUAGGGGUGAAAGGCCAAUCAAACUCGGAGAUAUCUGGUUCUCGCCGAAAUGUCUUUAGGGGCAGCGUCAUGGUAAUGUACCGGGGGUAGAGCACUGGAUGGGCUAGGGAGCCUACAAGCUUACCGACCCCAAUCAAACUCCGAAUACCGGUAUUAUAAUGCAUGGCAGUGAGCUCAUGGGGGAUAAGCUUCAUGAACAAAAGGGAAAGAACCCAGACCAUCAGCUAAGGUCCCAAAGUCGAUGCUAAGUGAUAAAGGAUGUCAAAUCGCCCAGACAGCUAGGAGGUUGGCUUAGAAGCAGCCAUCCUUUAAAGAAAGCGUAACAGCUCACUAGUCGAGGGGUUUUGCGCCGAUAAUUUCCGGGACUAAGCAUCGCACCGAAGCUAUGGACUCUGACAUUUGUAUGUCAGAGUGGUAGGCGAGCGUUCCAUCGACCGUCGAAGGUUGACCCGUGAGGGCAGCUGGAGGAAAUGGAAAUGAGUAUGCUGGCAUGAGUAGCGAUAAAGCCUGUGAAAUGCAGGCUCGCCGCAAGCCCAAGGUUUCCUGAGUAAAGUUAAUCUGCUCAGGGUUAGUCGGACCCUAAGCCGAGGCCGAAAGGCGUAGGCGAUGGAAAACAGGUUUAAUAUUCCUGUACCAGUGCAACAUUGUUUGAACUAUGGGGGGACGCAGAAGUGAAAGGUCAGCCCGGUUUUGAUUGUCCGGGUUUAAGUGCGUAGGGAGUCCUGGUAGGCAAAUCCGCCGGGAUGCUAAUCCUGAGACACGAAUAGGAGAGCCUAGCUCAUAAACUGACCCUAAUCAUACUGCCAAGAAAAUCCUCUAUGUUAGAUGCUGCGCUGACCGUACCGUAAACGGACACACGUGGGCGAGGAGAGAAUCCUCAGGCGCUUGUGAGAAUCCAGGUUAAGGAACUCGGCAAAUUAGCCCCGUAACUUCGGGAGAAGGGGUGCCCCCAUUAGGUGAUGGACUUCGCGUCCGGAGCUGAAAGGGGUCGCAGUGACCAGGCUCAAUCGACUGUUUACUAAAAACACAGGUCUCUGCUAAGUCGCAAGACGACAUAUAGGGACUGACACCUGCCCGGUGCUGGAAGGUUAAAUGGAGGGGUUAGCUUCGGCGAAGCUCUGAAAUGAAGCCCCAGUAAACGGCGGCCGUAACUAUAACGGUCCUAAGGUAGCGAAAUUCCUUGUCGGGUAAGUUCCGACCUGCACGAAUGGUGUAAC
rnacentral:rRNA from 1 species